AUAGAAUCAAGGCUCCGAUAGAGUUCCGUAGCAUAAACCGCUGUGAUUUUCAAGAGUUCUCUCCCAUGACUAUUGGUUUGGGUGACUGUUGUGAGGAUUUUGAUCAGACGAGGGGAAAGCAAAUAACUUGUGACACAGUGGCAAUCGUAUAAUAACGCUUAUUUGAAACGGAUUUGGAGUAGGGCUCUCCACCUGCUUUAGUCUAGGAAAGUGAAGGAGUGGCUCUGCUCUCAAACCCAGUUUGGUUUUUUUUCAGAAACCUGAACUACCCACAUCGCCUGCCAUUGACAAGGGAAGUGGAGAUGUCAGCCGUGGGUAGGCGAGGUGGGCCAGAUGGAGAGAUGCCAGGUGAACCCAAGGAAAGGACUGGAACCAAAAUGAAAAGAAUGCAAAUGGCUCAGAUCUUCACUGGAAAAGAUCGUGGAAACCUGAAGCAAGAAACUGAGGAUCAAGUUGAGGAAAAGUGCAAGAGAUGGAUAAAGAGAAACUCUUUCAGGGUACACCCAAUCUCCCCGGAGCUUGUAAGAGUUCCACCCCGAUCUUUAUGACCGGCAACAAGGUGGAAGAAAACAUUAAUUUCUGAGGUUAAAGAGGAGAAAUUUCCUAAAGUUUCCACCACAGCCAAUUGUGCAAGCUUUAAGACUUGAGGCAGGGGAGAAAAAGCUUAUCUUCAAAUUUCAUAUAAAAUCAACUACAUUUUGCUGCCAGAAUAUUUGAAGUGUGAAAGAAGGAGGUAAUUGCUUCAUGGCGUGUCACCUUCUGUAUUCUCUCCUGGGUCUUUAUGGCCAAACCCCUUUGAGGGAGCUCUGAGAAUGUUUGAUGGGAAUAGGAGAGACUUGCUUCAUGCAAUGUCUACUCCAUAAUCCUCUGUUGGGUCUUUAAGGCCUAACCCCUUGAGAGAGCAAAGAGAAUGUUUGAGGUGAAAAAGGAGAGAUUUGCUUCAUGCAGUAUCUCACCCAUGUCUUCACGACCUAAUGCCUCAAGUGAGCAGAGACAAUAUUACAGGAGGAAAAGGAAAAGCUUGCUUCAUGCAAUAUCUACUUAAUUCUCUCUUAGGUCUUAAAGUCCCCCAUUCCUGGAGAUAGCAGAGGAAAAACUGAGGUGAAAAAGGAGAGAUUUGCUUCAUGCAACAUCUCACCAAGGUCUUCAUGACCUAAUGCCUCAGAUGAGCAGAGAUGAUACUGUAGGUGGAGAAAGAGAUACUUGCUUCAUGCAAUCUCUACUUAAUUCUCUCUUGGGUCUUUAAGGCCCAACUCCUUGAGAGAGCAGAGAGAAUGUUUAAGGUGAAAAAGGAGAGAUUUGCUUCAUGCAUUAUCUCACCAAGGUCUUCAUGACCUAAUGCCUCAGAUGAGCAGAGAUGAUAUUGUAGCUGGGACAGGAGAUACUUGCUUCAUGCAAUAUCUACUUAAUUCUCUCUUGGGUCUUUAAGUACCCCACUCCUGGAGAUAGCAGAGAGAAUGUUAGAGGUGAAAAAGGAGAGAUUUGCUUUAUGCAGUAUCUAACCCAGAUCUUCACGAUCUAAUGCCUCAAUAGAGCAGAGACAAUAUUAUAGGUGGAAAAGGAGAUACCUGCUAUCUACUAAUUGUCUUAUUGGACCUUUACGGCCCAAUAGCUUGAGAGAGCAGGGAGAAUAUUUCAAAUGAAAAAGAGAUUUGCUCCAUGCAAUAUCUAACCCAAGUCUUCACGACCAUAUGCCUCAGAUGAGCAGAGGUGAUACUGUAGGUGGAAAAAGAGAUACUAGCUUCAUGCAAUAUCUACUUAGUUCUCUCUCGGGUCUCUAAGGCCUAACUCCUUGAGAGAGCAGAGAGAAUGUUUGAGGUGAAAAAGGAGAGAUCUGCUUCAUGCAAUAUCUCACCAAGGUCUUCAUGACCUAAUGCCUCCAAUGAGCAGAGAUGAUACUGUAGGUGGAAACGGAGGUACUUGCUUCAUGCAAUAUCUAUUUAAUUCUCUCUUAGGUCUUUAAGGCCCAACUCCUUGAGAGAGCAGAGAGAAUGUUUGAAGUGAAAAAGGGGAGAUCUGCCUCAUGCAAUAUCUCACCGAGGUCUUCAUGACCUAAUGCCUCAAAUGAGCAGAGAUGAUAUUGUAGGUGGAAAAGGGGAUACUUGCUUCAUGCAAUAUCUAUUUAAUUCUCUCUUAGGUCUUUAAGGCCCAACUCGUUGAGAGAGCAGAGAGAAUGUUUGAGGUAAAAAAGGAGAGAUUUGCUUCAUGCAAUAUCUCAGCAAGGUCCUCAUGACCGAAUGCUGCAAAUGAGCAGAUUUGAUAUUGCAGGUGGAGAAAGAGAUACUUGCUUCAUCUAAUCUCUACUUAAUUCUCUCUUGGGUCUUGAAGGCCUAACUGCUUGAGAGAUCAGAGAGAAUGUUCGAGGUGAAAAAGGAGAGAUUUGCUUCAUGCAGUAUCUCACCCAGGUCUUCACGACCAAAUGCCUCAAAUAAGCAGAGGUAACAUUAGAGGUGGCAAAGAAGAUUCUUGCUUCAUGCAAUCACUACAUAAUUCUCUCUUGGGCCUUUAAGGCUCAACUCCUUGAGGGAACAGAGAGAAUGUUUGAGGUGAAAAAGGAGAGAUUAGUUUCAUGCAAUAUCUCACCAAGGUCUUCAUGACCUAAUGCCUCAAAUGAGCAGAGAUGAUAUUGUAGGUGGAGAAAGAGAUACUUGCUUCAUGCAAUCUCUACUUAAUUCUCUCUUGGGUCUUUAAGGCCCAACUCCUUGAGAGAGCAGAGAGAAUGUUUGAGGUGAAAAAAGAGAGAUUUGCUUCAUGCAAUAUCUCACCAAGGUCUUCAUGACCGAAUGCCUCAAAUAAGCAGAGAUGAUAUUGUAGGUGGAAAAGGAGUUCCUUGCUUCAUGCAAUAUCUACUGAAUUCUCUCUUGGGUCAUUAAGGCCCCACUCCUUCAGAGAGCAGACUGAGUGUUUGAGGUGAAAAAGGAGAGAUUUGCUUCAUGCAGUAUCUCCCCCAGGUCUUCACGUCCUAAUGCCUCAAGAAAGCAGAGACAGUAAUGAUAGGUGGCAAAGGAGAUUCUUGCUUCAUGCAGUAUCUACUUAAAUCUCUCUGGGGUCAUUAAGGCCCAAACCCCUGAGAGAGCAGAGACAAAGAUUGAGGUGAAAAAGGAGAGAUUUGCUUCAUGCAAUAUCUCACACAGGUCUUCAUGACCAAGUGCCUCAAAUGAGCAGAGAUGAUAAUGUAGGUGGAAAAAGAGAUACUUGCUUCAUGCAAUAUCUACUUAAUUCUCUUAAUGGGUCUUUAAGGCCCAACAGCUUGAGAGAGCAGAGGGAAUGUUUGAGGUGAAAAAGGAGAGAUUUGCUUCAUGCAAUAUCUCACCCAGGUCCUCCCUUUCCUAAUACCUCAAAUGAGCAGAGAUGAUAUUGUAGGUGGAAAAAGAGAUACUUGCUUCAUGCCGUAUCUACUUGACUCUCUCUUUGGUCUUUAAGGCCCAACACCUUGAGAGAGCAGAUAGAAUGUUUGAGGUGAAAGAGGAGAGAUUUGCUUCAUGCAGUAUCUCCCACUGAUCUUCACAACGUAAUGGCAGUGGGGAGCACUGAGACUAUUUUGGGUGGAAAAGAAGAGCUUUGCUUCAGGCAAUAUCUCCCCUUCCUUCUCCCCUUGGUCUUUAUGAAGCAAUUCCUCAAGUGAUCAGAGAAAAUGUUUGAAGAGGUAAAUGAGACAUCUGUUUCGUGCCAUAUCUUCUUCACAAUAGUCUCCUGCGUCUAAGGCCAAAUUUCCUGAGAGAGCAGGGUGAAUCCUUGAAAAUGAAAAGGAGAAAUCUGCUUCAUACAAUAUCUUCUCCUUAAUUUUCUCUUGGGUCUUCAGGCAUAACUCUGUGACAGAGCAGAGAGUCUGAUUGAAGAUGAAAAGGAGAGAUUUGCUUCAUGCAAUAACUCUUUCUUAAUUCUCUCUUAGGCCUUUAAGGCUUAACUCUUUAUAAGAGCAAAGAGAAUGAGGUAAAUAAGGAAAGAUUUGCUUCACACCAUAUAUCUCUUCUGAACGUCUCUCAAGGGUCUUUAAAGCCAAAUCCCUUAAGAGAGCAUAGUGAAAGUUUGAAAAUGAAAAGAGAAUUCUUGUUCAUGCAAUAUCUCCUCCUUCAAUCUCCCCUGGGCCUUUAAGGCCUAACUCCUAGAGAGAGCCGAGAAAUGACUGAGGUGAAAAAAAGAGAGAUGUGCUUCAUGCAGUAUCUCUCCUCCUUAAUUCUCUUUUGUGUCUUUAAGCCACAACUCCAUGAAUGAGGAGAGAGAAUAUUUGGGGGUGCAAAGUAGAAAUUUGCUUCAUGCAGCAUCUCCUUCUCAAUUUUCUCUUGGGUCUUUAAGGCCUAACUCUUCGAGAGAUCAGAGAGAAUGUUUGGAGGUUAAAAAGGAGAACUUUGCUUCAUGCCAUUAUCACCUUCUUUAUUCCCUCAGGGUUCUCUAAGGACAACCCCCUUGAGAGAGCAGAGGAAAUGUUUGAAGUUGAACAGAGAAGACCUGAUUCAUGCAACAUCUCCUCCCUAAUUCCAUCUUAGGUCUUAAGGUCCUACCUUGUUGAAGGAGCAGAGAUGAUAAUUGAGGAUGAAAAGUAGACAUUUGCUUCCUGUAAUAUCUCCUUAUUAAUUCUGUCUAGUGUCUUUGAGGCCUAACUCUUUGAGAGAGAAUGUUUGAGGUUGCAAAGGAGAGAUUUGCUUCAUGCAAUAUCUAUCCUUCUGAUUAAGUCCAAGGACAACCGAUUGAAUGUUGGAUAAGGGCAAGGAGUAAUCUUCUUCAUGCACUUUCUCCUCCUAAAUUGGUCUGGGGGUCUUUAAGGCCUAUCUCCAUGAAUGAAGAGUGAAAAUAUUUGAGGAUGAAAAGUAGAGAAUUGCUUCAUGCAAUAGCUCCUCCUUAAUUCUCUCCUGGCUCUUUAAGGCCUAACUCCUUGAGAUAGCAGAAAGAAUAUUUGAGCAUGAAACAUAGAGAUUUGCUUCAUGUAAGAUCUCCUUCUUAAUUGUCUCUGGAGUCUUUAAAGCCAAAAUCCCAGAGAGAGCACAGAGAAUGUUUGCAAAUGAAAAGUAGUGACUUGCUUCAUGGAGUAUCUUCUUGUUAAUUCCCCUUUGGGCCAUAAAGAUCUAAUGCCUUGCCCGAGCUCAGAGCAAGUUUGAGGAUAACUAGGAGGAAUUUGCUUCACGCGACAUCUCCUUGUUAAUUUUCUCCUAGGUCGAUAAGGCCCAACUCCUUGGGAAAGCAGAGAGAAGGUUUGAGGUGAAAAAGGAGAGAAUUGCUUCACGCAAUCGCUCACCCAGAUCUUCAUGACCUAAUGCCUCAAGGAGGUCGAGACGAUACUUGCUUCAUGCAAUCUCUACUUAAUUCUCUCUUGGGUCUGUAAGGCCCAACUCCUUGAGAGAGCAGAGAGAAUGUUUGAGGUGAAAAAGGAGAGAUUUGCUUCAUGCAAUAUCUCACCAAGGUCUUCAUGACCUAAUGCCUCAAAUGAGCAGGGAUGAUAUUGUAGGUGGAAAAGGAGAUACUUGCUUCAUGCAAUAUCUACUUAAUUCUCUCUUGGGUCUUUAAGGCCCAACUCCUUGAGAGAGCAGAGAGAAUGAUUGAGGUAAAAAAGGAGACAUUUGCUUCAUGCAACAUCUCACCAAGGUCUUCAUGACCGAAUGCCGCAAAUGAGCAGAUUUAAUAAUGUAGGUGGAGAAAGAGAUAGUUGCUUCAUCUAAUAUCUCCUUAAUUCUCUCUUGGGUCUUGAAGACCUAACUCCUUGAGAGAGCAGAGAGAAUGUUUGAGGUGAAAAAGGAGAGAUUUGCUUCACGCAGUAUCUCACCCAGGUCUUCAUGACCAAAUGCCUCAAGUAAGCAGAGAUGACUUUAGAGGUGGCAAAGGAGAUUCUUGCUUCAUGCAAUCUCCACAUAAUUCUCUCUUGGGCCUUUAAGGCCCAACUCCUUGAGAGAACAGAGAGAAUGUUUGAGGUGAAAAAGGAGAGAUUUGCUUCAUGCAAUAUCUCACCAAGGUCUUCAUGACCUAAUGCCCCAAAUGAGCAAAGAUGAUAUUGUAGUUGGAAAAAGAGAUACUUGCUUCAUGCAAUAUCUACUUAAUUCUCUCUUGGGUCUCUAAGGCCCAUCUUCUUGAGAGAGCAGAGAGAAUGUUUGAGGUGAAAAAGGGGAGAUUUGCUUCAUGCAGUAUCUCACCCAGGUCUUCACGACCAAAUGCCUCAAAUGAGCAGAGGUGAUAUUAUAGGUCGAAAAUGGAAUACUUGCCUCAUGCAAUAUGUACUUAAUUCUCUCUUGGGUCUUUAAGGCCCAACACUUUGAGAGAGCAGAGAGAGAUUUGCUUCAUGCAAUAUCUCACCCAGAUCUUCAUGACCUAAUGUCUCAAGAGAGCAGACACAGUAGCAUGGGUGGAAAAGGUGUUCCUUGCUUCAUGUAAUCUCUACUUAAUUCUCUCUUGGGUCUUUAAGGCCGACACCUUGAGAGAACAGAGGGAACGUUUGUGGUGAAAAAGGAGAGAUUUGCUUCAUGCAGUAUUUCACCCAGGUCUUCACGACCAAAUGCCUCAAAUGAGCAAGAGAUGAUAGUAUAGGUAGAAAAGAGAAUACUUGCUUCAUGCAAUGUCUACUUAAUUCUCUCUUGGGUCUUUAAGGCCCAACACCUUGAGAGAGCAGAGAGAAUGUUUGAGGUGAAAAAGGAGAGAUUUGCUUCAUGCAGUAUCUCACCCAGGUCUUCACGACCAAAUGCCUCAAAUGAGCCAGAGACGAUAUUAUAGGUAGAAAUGGAGAUUCUUGCUACAUGAAAAAAUCUACUUAAUUCUCUCUUGGGCCUUUAAGGCUCACCUCCUUGAGGGAGCGGAGAGAAUAUUUGAGGUGAAAAAGGGGAGAUUUGCUUUAUGCAAUAUUUCACCCAGGUCUUGAAGACCUACUUCCUCAAGGGUGCCGAGACAAUAAUAUAGAUGGAAAAGGAGUUCCUUGCUUCAUGCACUAUCUACUUAAUUAUUUCUUGGGUCUUUAAGGCCCAACUCCUUGAGAGAACAGAGGGAAUGUUUGGGGUGAAAAAGGAGAGAUUUGCUUCAUGUAAUAUCUCACCCAGGUAGGUCUUCAUGACCUAAUGUCUCAAGUGAGCAGAGACAAAUUAUGGUGGAAGAAGAGAUACCAGCUUCAUGUAGUAUCCUCUUAAGUAUCUUUUGAAUCUUUAAUGCCCAACUCCUCUAGAGAGCAGAGGGAUUAUUUGAGGUGAAAAAGGAGAGAUCUGCUUCAUGCAGUGUUUCCCUUUUAAAUCCUACCCCGGUCUUCAUGACCUAAUGCCUCUACUGAGCAGAGACACUAUUAUAAUGUUAAAGGAGGUACCUGCUUCAUGCAAUAUCUACUUAAUUCUCUCUUGGGUCUUUAAGGCUCAACUCCUUGAGAGAGCAGAGAGAAUGUUUGAGGUGAAAACGGAGAGAUUUGCCUCGUGCAAUAGCUCCCAUUUCAAUCUCACCCAGGUCUUCAUGACCUAAUGCGUCAAUUGAGCAGAGACAACAUUAUAGGUGGAAAAGGAGAUCCUUGCUUUAUGCAGUAUCUACUUACAUUUCCCUUAGGUCUUUAAGACCCAGUUCCCUGAGGUGGAAAAGGAGAGAUUUGCCUCAUGCAAUACCUCACCCAAGUCUUCACCACCUAAUACCUCUUGUGAGCAGAGACAGUAUUAUAGGUGGAAAAAGAGAUACCUGCUUCCUGCCAUAUCUACUUAAUUCUCUCUUGGGUCUUUAAAGCCCAACUCCUUGAGAGAACAGAGAGAAUGUUGGAGGUGGGAGAGAUUUGCUUCAUGCAAUAUUUCCCACUGCCACUCACGACAUAGUGCCUCAAGUAAGCAGGGAGACUACUUUAGGGGGAAAAGAAGAGCUUUGUUUCAGGCAAUGGCUCCCUUUCAUUCUCUUCCGGGUCUUCGUGAUGCCCUGCUUCAAGUUUGCUGAGAAAAGGAUUGAAGAGAUGAAGGAUAAAUUUGCUUCAUGCCAUAUCUUCUUCAUUCUGUCUUCUAAGUCUUUAAAAGCCAAUCUCCCUGAGAGAGCAGGGGAACAUUUUAAAAUGAAAAGGAGAAACAUGCUUUAUGCAAUAUCUCCGUAGUUCCCUCUUGGGCCCUUAAGAACAAAUUAUUGGACUGAAUGGAGAGUAUAUUUGAAGAUAACAAGUAGAGAUGACAUUUGUUUCGUGUGGUAUCUCCUUUAUAAUUCUCUCUUGGGCCUUUAAGUACUAAGUCCUUGAGAAAGUAGAGAGAAUGUUUAAGGUGAAGAAGGAAAGAUUUGUUUCAUGCAAUAUCUCCCUCCACAAUUGUCUCCUGGGUCUUUAAUGCCUAACUCCUUGAACGAGGAGAGAGCAUAAUUGAGGAUGAAAAGUAGAGAUUGACUUCAUGGAGUAUCUCCUUCUUAAUUUUCUCUUGGGUCUCUAAGGCCUAAUUCCUUGAGAGAUCGGAGAGAACGAUGGAGGAGAAUUUUUGGAGAAUUUUGCUUCAUGCAAUAUCAGUGUGUUAAUUGAUUCCUAAGGACAAGAGAGCAGAGGAAAUGUUUGAAGAUGGGAAGAGACUUGCUUCAUGCAAUAUCUCCUCCUUAACUCUCUUGGGCCUAUUAAGAUCUAACUCUUUGACCGAGCAGAGAGUAUGUGGGAAGAUAAAAAGGAGAGAUUUGCUUCCUGCAGUAUCUCCUUAUUAAUUCUAUCUUGGGCUUUUCAGGCCUAACUCCUUGAGAGAGCAGAGAAAAUGUUUGAAAUGAAAAAGGAGAGAUUUGCUUGAUGCAUUCUCUCUCCUUCUUGGGGCUGGGGGUUUAGGGCCAAACUCCCUGAGACAGCAGAAUGAAUGUUGGAACCUAAAAGCAGAAACCUGCUUCAUGCAAGUUCUUUUCCUUAAUUGUCUAACUCCUUGAGUGAGCACUGAGAAUAUUUGAAGAUGGAAAGCAGAGAUUUGGUUCAUGCAGUAUCUUCUUAAUUCUCUCUUGGGUCUAGAAAGCCCAACUACUUGAGUGAGCAAAGAGACUAUUUGAGAAUGAAAAGUAGAGCCUUGCUUCAUGCAGUAUCUCUUUCUUAGUAGAUGUUUGAAGAUGGGAAGGAGAGACUUGCUUCAUGCAAUAUCUCCUUAUUAAGUGUCUUUUGAGUCUGUCAGAUCUAACCCCUUGAGAGAGCAGAGAGAAUGUCUAAGGUGAAAAAGAAGAGCCGAGCUUCCAGCAGAAUCUCCCUUUAAAAGGACACCUGGGUGUUCACAACCUAUAGCCUCAAGUGGGCGGAGAAUAUUUUUGUCAGAAAAGGAGAAACCUGCUUCAUGCAAUAGCUACUUAGUUCUCUCUUGGUUCUCUAUGGCCUAAGUCCUCGAGAGAGCAGAGAGAAUGUAUGAGAUGAAAGAUGAGAGAUGUGCUUUAUGCAGUAUCUCCCAUUUAUUUUUCCAGUAGACCUUCAGAACCUAAUGCCCCAAGUGAGAAGAGAGGAUAGUUUAAGUGGAAAAAGAGAGCCUUGCUUCAGGCAAUAUUUCCCCUUCAUUCUCUUGAGGGUUUUUACUACCCAGUGACUCAAGAGAGCAGAGGAAAUGAUUAAAGAGGUAAAGGAGAAAUUUGCUUCAUGCCAUAUGCACUUGGUAACUGUCCUGUGGGUCUUUAAGGCCCAACUCAUUGAGAGGACAAAGAAAAUAUUUGAGGAGGAAAUUCUUCGUAAUUCUCUUCUUGGGCUUCAAGGCCUGACUACUUGAGCCAAUUUGUGGUACAACACACAAAAGUCUCCGAGCUAAUUGCCCCCAAAACCUCUGAAAGAGAUUUCACCUUUAUCCUCUCACACUACCUGUGGGGGACGAACGGCAUCAAGGCCCAGGGCCCCCGGGACAGCAAAAGAGCGCCAGCCUCGGUAUAGGAAGGCUCUGGGAAUGCUUGUUCAUCACCCGCAGAAGAAGAGAGGACACGUGGAAAUCAGGCAACUGUC